UUCAUAUUGGGCUCACCCCAAAUGAGCUGCCCAUUCCCUGCAUCCUGGUCGAGGAAGGACUGGUUCACCUCCUUCAUGGAGCGCAGUAGCAGCCUCCCCCAUCGGCGUCCAGAGGCCACUAGCCAACAACGGUUGUCCAGCUUCAAUCAAAACAAUGUCAACUAAUUCUACCAGAAUUGAAAGACGGUGAUGGACCGGCACCAGUUCCAGGCCAAGGAUAUUUGGAACAUUAAUGAAACCGGUGCCAGACCGUGUCGUCGCCCAGAUGGGGCAGAAGCAGGUCGGGUCGGUGACCUCAGCGGAG
ensembl:lncRNA